rnacentral:rRNA from 1 species
CGGCCUUCGGGUUGUAAACCUCUUUUAGUAGGGAAGAAGCGUAACAGUGACGGUACCUGCAGAAAAAGCACCGGCUAACUACGUGCCAGCAGCCGCGGUAAUACGUAGGGUGCAAGCGUUGUCCGGAAUUAUUGGGCGUAAAGAGCUCGUAGGCGGUUUGUCGCGUCUGCUGUGAAAACCCGAGGCUCAACCUCGGGCCUGCAGUGGGUACGGGCAGACUAGAGUGCGGUAGGGGAGAUUGGAAUUCCUGGUGUAGUGGUGGAAUGCGCAGAUAUCAGGAGGAACACCAAUGGCGAAGGCAGAUCUCUGGGCCGUAACUGACGCUGAGGAGCGAAAGCAUGGGGAGCGAACAGGAUUAGAUACCCUGGUAGUCCAUGCCGUAAACGUUGGGAACUAGAUGUGGGGACCAUUCCACGGUCUCCGUGUCGCAGCUAACGCAUUAAGUUCCCCGCCAGGGGAGUACGGCCGCAAGGCUAAAACUCAAAGGAAUUGACGGAAUCGAAUU